AGGUAUUCUCAAGGGUGGUCGGCCACUCCCAGCAAGAAGUGGGUGAUGCUGAAUGACAGUGUUUGAAACAUUAAUGAUUACGAUUGCAUUUGCUAGUUUAAUCGUAGCCAUCCUGUCAUUUAACCAAAAAAAUAAUCCACCCUUGAGUUAAUGAUCAGACUCGGGUGGAUUACUUCUACCUAGAGCCGAUCCCCUUGAUGGGAACCUGCUAUUGCAUGGACCGUUAGUGUGU
rnacentral:sRNA from 1 species